GUUUCACCAUGUUGGUCAAGCUGGUACUGAACUCCUGACUUCAAAUGAUCCACUCACCUCAGCCUCUCAAAGUGCUGGGAUUACAGGUGUAAGCCACUGUGCACAGCCUAAACUAUGAAUGAUUUUCUGAAAUGUUUAUGAAGACAUUUCAAAAUGCUCAAAAGGAAUCACCGAAGUGGUAAUAUGUCAGGGGAAAGCUUUACAAAAACCCACAGAGGUACGUGUACCAUAUGAGAAGAUGCUACAAGACCAGUCAGCUUUGAUAGUACAGGGGCUUCCAGAAGGUGUUGCCUUUAAACACCCUGAGAAUUAUGAUCUUGCAACCCUGAAAUGGAUUUUGGAGAACACAGCUGGGAUUUCAUUUAUUAUUAAGAGGGGUUGUGGAAAAGGAAAGUGGUAGAAAGUAAAUGACACAGUGACAGAAGAAUUUGACCUAAAUAACGAGAUGCUGGAGUGUGAAUGCUUCGGUGAAGAAUAUAGACCAAAAAUUUAUGAUCAAGCGGGGUCUGAUGAGAAUGCCGGGGAUCACCAAAGAAGACUCGAGUCAGCUUUGUACAGCAGGAAGCUGAGGACUUCUCUUUGUUAUCAGCUCUCCAAAUCAGAUGUGAGUGCUCAGAGCCAGGAGAGGAGAAGCGGAGGGAAGGAGGAGGCUGCCCCCAUCCCGAGUGCAGAAUUUUCUCCAGGAUAUUUAAAUGAAGAAAGCAGCAUUCUCCAGUGGUUGAAGGUGUUUGAGCAGAGGGAGGUGGUAAUGUCAGGACCUUGGAGGACACAGGUGUCACCUGAUCCUCAGGUCAGACACCAUACUGGUCAUUAUGGUAGGAGAUACACUUGGAGCUGUGCACAGAGAGGAUGCCAAAAGCAGAGGAAUGUGAUGGAGAAUAAUGCUGGAGCUCAAAGAGCCUGCGGUAGGGAGUUGUAUGUGUCCACUUGGCUAGGAUGUAGCACCCAGUUACUCAAUCCAACACUAAUCUAAGUGUUGCUCUGAAGGGAUUUUGUAGAUUGGGCUAACGUCUACUAUCAGUUGACUUCAGAUAAGGAGAUUAUCUUCAAUAAUCUGAAAAGGCCCCAUUUGAUCAGUUAAAAGGCCUAAAGAGUGGAAUUGAGGUUUCUCUGAGGAAGAAGAGAUUCUUCCCCAAGACUGCAGCAUCAUCAGCUCCUGCCUGAGCACUUGCACCCUGCUGACCUGCCCUGAAGAUUUCAGAAUUUGCCAACCCCACAAUUUCAUGAGCAGAUUCCUUAAAGGAAGUCUUUUUUUUUUCUUUUAUUAUUAUUAUUAUUAUUAUUAUUAUUAUUAUUAUACUUUAGGUUUUAUGGUACAUGUGCGCAAUGUGCAGGUAAGUUACAUAUGUAUACAUGUGCCAUGCUGGUGCGCUGCACCCACCAACUUGUC
rnacentral:lncRNA from 1 species